GGAUGUGAGGUCAUCUGGCUUCGACAUCUGCCACCCCAUGAUCGCCAGGGUGGGUUCGGCUGAUCUGGCCGGCUAGGCGGGUGUCCCCUUCCUCCCUCAUCGCCCCAUGUGCGUCCCUCCCGCAGCUGCGCGCUCCAUCGAAGAGGACAGCCUUCCCUGAAUAGAGACGGAUGAACGGACGGGUCUUUGGUGGAGGGUACACGAGUAGCUGCGCUCCUCUCCCCCUGCUAGAACCUCCAAACAAGCUCUCAGAAAGUUUCUCUGCCGUAGGACCCUGGAUCCCGUUCGCACUUGUACUAGCUAGAUCUUCCCACGUCGCUGCUUCCCAGCUGGUUGUGUCAGCUCACGGG
rfam:Erinaceus europaeus unplaced genomic scaffold scaffold00723, whole genome shotgun sequence